rnacentral:lncRNA from 1 species
AAGCCAUGAUAUUUUCUCCUCAGUCCCUCACCAACCCGCAGCAUUUGCAUCAAGCACCAUCUCAAGAAAUUUCGCGCAAUUUCAAUCCUUGAAAUGCUGCAUCAAUUACAACAAAUCCCCAAAUUCGAAAAUACUCCGACAACUUCAUCUCAGAGCCAAAUUACAUAGAUAAUUCCAAAUUCCACAAAACUCAAUUCCUCGUGAUCAUCCCUGA